AGACUUGCGUUUAUUAGUGGGAGAUGUUAGUGUGUUAGGGUUCCCCGGAGGUCUGUAAAGCUACGGGCUUGAUGGUGCUGGCCCAGCCUGAUGAUCUCCCAGACCUAAGGCCGUAGAGGUGUUAGUAGUGACUGGACUUUCCUAAGUCCAGGUGUCUUCCCUCAACUUUCCUUUCUCCUGUGACUUUAACAAUUUGUAUGAAGGUAUAGUUUUUAGUGUUUAAGAGCCUGGAAUGUAAAUGGUGCUGAAUAAAUAUUGAUUAAAAUAAUA